UUUCCUUGCAACCUCUAAAAUGCCGUACCAAACACAGUCGGGAAAUAUGUCUGUUAACAGAUGUCCUAUCUCUCAGCACAAAGGCAUGACCUCCUUUAGGCUACAUGACAUUUGAUCCGUAUUUCUGUAAUUACUUACAGAUUAAUCCAUUUCUACAAGGGCCUGUGUAAUUAGUAGUUUGCUUAUUGAUCUACACAUGAAAUGACUCUUGAUUAUUUUUACUCAAAUCAUUGUUCUGUCAAUUCAGAACAUCACAUUAAUACUUGAAGAAAAAUGAAUCCCCUAAAUUGACCCACUUGAAGCAGAGCACUCAUGAAAAGCCAGAAUGAUGCUAAGGCAAUGACAAUUUCUGUUUUGUCAGCAUUCUGUCAGAAUACAAUGCAUUUUUGGGGCAUCUUAUAAUCAAUGGUCUUGCACCCAAUAUCUAAACGAUGACAAGUAACUCAUGGCAAUCACAGCAAAGGAGAAAACAGUGACAGUAGAAGAACAAAGGCAGCCAAAGUCAUAAGGUCAUGUGAUAGGAGUAGAAUUAGGCCAUUCAGCCCACCUAGUCUACUCUGCCCAUCAAUCAUGGCUGAUCAAUCUCUCCCUCCUAACCCCAUUCUCUUACCUUCUCACCAUAACCCCGACACCCGUACUAAUCUAGAAUCUAUCUAUGGCUUAAAAAUAUCCAUUGACGGUAUACACAGCCUUAUGUAGCAAAGAAUUCCACAGAUUCACUACCCUCUUCUUAAUCUCUUCUUAGUGUCCAAACUGAGUCUGAAGGUGGUAUAUUCUUUUCAGUUCAGUUGUCCAUUUGAUUGACCUAAAAACCAAAGUUAAAUGUUCUCUGGAAAUUCAUGAUUCAUGAUUAAUGAUUUGGAGAUUUUCAGAAAAAAGUGAUUAACUGAGAUAAUUAGUGUUAAAUAAUCCAUCAAGUGAAAUGAAGACCACUGAGUCUUUUAUGGUUCUAUUUUGCUAAUGUCAGGGAAUCAUGCCUUGACACAAUGCUGUGCCAUCCAUAACCACUCCAUGGAUCAAUUCCCCAAUGGUGUCAAGGUUGUUAAGCCUCUGAGUCAUCAGCUGUGCAGCAAGCAGCACCAGUCAGAAACUAACUGCAGGCUUUGGCUGGUUUACAGCAGAAGUCAUCAAUGGUUCGAAACUGCUUCCUCAAUGGUUUCAUUUGCUUAGAUCGAUGUACCUGUCCAUAUGUGUUCUACUCCACUGAAAAAUAUAGUGGAAUGAAAAGGGAACAGCUUCUUACCUGGGGAUCACAGCAAUGAAGGAGGAAAGUCUAUCCUGGCAAGAACCUUACAGGGAACCCAUGACGGGAGGAAGAAAAAUACUGGGGUGAGGUUUAAGACUUGCAGGGCUAUCUUUUUGUGAGCAAGAAAUUUAACCAAGUCAGCACGGGCGGAAGCUGCAAUGAAGUAAUUUAGCAGCAACCUUUGGCAUCUGGAAGAGCCAUCCUUUGAAGAAAGAAUUAUUCCUGGAAUAUCUGCCUGUGCUAGAGUACAAUGAUGAUCCUAUAUUAAUUGAAAGAAUAGGAAGCAACUCUAGUCAUCAUUCAAUCCAAAUGCUCCAGCAAUAAAUCAAAUUCUCUGGGCAACAAUGUCAUUUUGUAUUAUUUAACAGACUCGUUCAAUUCCCACCAAAGA